GCAGCGGUAGUUCAGUUGGUUAGAAUGCCGCCCUGUCACGGCGGAGGUCGCGGGUUCGAGCCCCGUCCGCUGCGCCA
rnacentral:tRNA from 16 species